GACGUAGGGCGCGAGCGUUGUCCGGAUUUAUUGGGCGUAAAGAGCUCGUAGGCGGCUUGUCGCGUCGAAUGUGAAAACUCGGGGCUCAACUCCGAGCUUGCAUUCGAUACGGGCAGGCUAGAGUUCGGUAGGGGAGGACUGGAAUUCCUGGUGUAGCGGUGAAAUGCGCAGAUAUCAGGAGGAACACCGAUGGCGAAGGCAGGUCUCUGGGCCACUACUGACGCUGAGAAGCGAAAGCAUGGGGAGCGAACAGG
rnacentral:rRNA from 1 species